UACAGAGGGUGCGAGCGUUAAUCGGAAUUACUGGGCGUAAAGCGUGCGUAGACGGCUAUCUAAGUCGGGUGUGAAAGCCCCGGGCUCAACCUGGGAAUUGCAUUCGAGACUGAAUAGCUAGGGUACGGUAGAGGGAAGUGGAAUUUCCGGUGUAGCGGUGAAAUGCGUAGAUAUCGGAAGGAAGACCAGUGGCGAAGGCGGGUCUCUGGACAGUUCCUGACGCUGAGGCACGAAGGCCAGGGGAGCAAACGGG
rnacentral:rRNA from 1 species